rnacentral:tRNA from 1 species
CUGCCGGCGGAGCGGUUGUCGUUCAUCGUCGCUGACAGCGGCGCGUCGCCGGUGCUCGACCGGCUCGACAGUC